GACGAACGCUGGCGGCGUGCUUAACACAUGCAAGUCGAACGGAAAGGCCCUGCUUUUGUGGGGUGCUCGAGUGGCGAACGGGUGAGUAACACGUGAGUAACCUGCCCUUGACUUUGGGAUAACUUCAGGAAACUGGGGCUAAUACCGGAUAGGAGCUCCUGCUGCAUGGUGGGGGUUGGAAAGUUUCGGCGGUUGGGGAUGGACUCGCGGCUUAUCAGCUUGUUGGUGGGGUAGUGGCUUACCAAGGCUUUGACGGGUAGCCGGCCUGAGAGGGUGACCGGCCACAUUGGGACUGAGAUACGGCCCAGACUCCUACGGGAGGCAGCAGUGGGGAAUAUUGAACAAUGGGCGGAAGCCUGAUGCAGCAACGCCGCGUGCGGGAUGACGGCCUUCGGGUUGUAAACCGCUUUCGCCUGUGACGAAGCGUGGGUGACGGUAAUGGGUAAAGAAGCACCGGCUAACUACGUG
rnacentral:rRNA from 1 species